GCUUUAUAAACUUAUAAAUUUUAUAUGUUUUUUUAUAAAAAUAAUCUUUCGAAGGUUUAUUUAGUUGGGGCGACAAUGAUAUAAAUAAUAUAACUGUCAUAAAAUAUAACAAAUAUAUUUGUUUAAUAAGGAAUAAUUGAUCCUUUAUAAGGAUUUUAAGAUCAAGUU
rnacentral:rRNA from 1 species